CACCACUUACACCACAGGCUGCAUUUGGAGCGGUGUAUGAAUCUUCUCGAGUACACCACGAAAGAACUUUUAAGAAAACUUAAGUCUGCAAAUAAUCUUGGAGAAAGAAGGAAAACGCUGGAGACAGAAAAUGAGAAAGGGUUCGCACGGGAUCGCAAAGAGUCGGACAGGACUGAACAACUGAACAUAUAUGUAUUUCCUAGCUCUGUCCACUGAGAGAGCAAUAGCACCGCUACUACAAUGAACACGCCUAGAACUCAGACUUCUUUUCUAAAUACCAUUCUCCACCAAGAGGAACUAUGGCUCCAUGUGUAGGGAAUGAAACUGAAAUACUUUGUUGAGCAAUAAAAUAAGUUACUUAAAGA